CUGCAUGUGGAGUUCUAUUUUGUUCCUCUUCCUCCGUGGGGGGCAAAUUUGCCUAUCGCAUGCAACAGUCAAAGGAGUUAUCAGGGCUGCCAGACGUAAAGUACAGGCUGCGUGGUAGUAUAUCACUCCUACAUAU
rnacentral:snoRNA from 1 species